rnacentral:tRNA from 1 species
GGCGCUCUGCCCGAGUGGUCGAAGGGGUCAGAUUCAAGCUGUGCGCUUGCGCUGUGUCGCGUUCCCUGAUAUUACACGCAUGGGUUCGAAUCCCAUGGGCGUCA